rnacentral:misc_RNA from 1 species
UUUAUUUUCUUUUGUGUAAAAGACGCUCAGACGGCACUGUUACAACUUGAGGUUUUGGAAAAUGCCGGCGGGCUCGCGACGUGAGCCGCUGCGCCCGCCGAAGUAAGGAGGGUGGUAAGCAAAGGGUUGGGGAGAGCGAGGCGCCCGGGGGCGGUCCUCGUCUGAUACUCCUUAAUGAUCCUUCCGCAGGUUCACCUACGGAAA